UUGAGCCUUCUUGUACCCCACGGUAAAUAUAAGGGGACAUAAAUGUAAAGAGCAAAAGGCACUGCAGCUCUGUGGCAUCAAAAUGUGACCUCCUCCCAUGGCUCAAAACCAUUCUGGAGGAGCAAAACCUCCUCUGAGAUGUGUGGGGAGAAAAAAAGACAUAGGUGCAAUGUCUAACCACUGAUUCUGCCCAGCAAUUAGAGUUGAUGGGGACCACAGAUAGAUGGCAAUCAUUAGCACAAGGAUGAGGCUGUCCAGAAAAUUACCCUGUGGAUCCCAAGAACUUGAAUCAGACUUUUGAAAUGGGCACUGCACCAGUCCCUAGCACAUGGCAUGGAGGAGAGGAAGAGCAUUUUGAGGUUGUCUCCCAAAGUGAUGGGAGGCAGUGGAGAAAAGUGCAUGGAAGAAGUGCCUGAGCGUGGCAGGAGGCAAACACUGCGUCCUUUCAGUGGCUGGAGCUGGUGUGUGCAUGCAGCACAGAGAACAUAGAGUCAUAGAAUCAUUAAGAAAACGCCUCCAAGAUCACCUAGUCCCACUGCCAACCAAUCACCAAAAUGCCCACUAACCCAUGUUCCUCAGUGCCACAUCUACACGUUUCCUGAACACGUACAGGAACAGUGAAUCCACCACCUCUCAACCAGUAAGAAGUGAAAUAACCUUUGGGAAGCCACACCAUGGCCUUCAUUGGUGUAUCUCAACUCUGGAUGCGUCGACUUGAGUUAGUAGAGAACUGGCCACUUAGGGGUGAUUCCCCAAAUUAGUUGCUUUGAAUCACUGACAAAAUAAAAAUAAUGGCAGCAAAAAUAUGGGGAGAAAUGAAACUCCCUGUACUUAUUGAAAGGAAGCUUGACAGAAGUCAACACAUUCCCACAAAACGUCAAUCAGUUUUGCAUUAGUGAAUAUUCAGAGUGAUAGGUGUCAAAAAAAAAAAAAAGAGAAAGAAAGAAAAAAAAAGAAAGAAAGAAAGAAAAGAAAAACAGAAGAAAAUCACUUUCCUGGGAAAUACUGGAUGGAUUCCAACGCUGAGAGCUGAUCUAAGCCCACGAGAGGGAGCUAAUGCUUCUGUACAGUGCCGGAGUGGCUAUGGAAUGCCAGAGCAAUUUUCAAGGGAACAGAAACCAGCAGCUAUGCAAGGGAUGCAAGGGCUCUGCUGGAAACCACCCAGACUGUGUGAGCAGCCCUGGCGAGCCUCCAGCGUCUGCUUGCUCCCACGCUGUCGGCAGCAGGGGAUGUGCCUCUAUUUGCUGGCAUAGGGUUUUCUUGUUUGUCUCAUACCAACUCCUGGGGAGCUUGUUCUUGCUCUAGCAUAGACUCAUAGAAUCAUGGAACCAUAGAACCAUAGAAUAGUUUGGGUUGUAAGGAACUUUAAAGGUCACCAAGCGCCAAACCCCUGCACCAUAGGCAGGGUUGCCAUUCACUAGACCAGGCUGUCCAUAGUCCCAUCCAACAAAAUAUCCAAAGCCCAAAGCUGGUACCGAGCUCUGCAAGGUUUCAACUCACAGCAUAUGGCUAUGGGCUACUUGGAAAUGGGGUCCAAACCCCUCUUCCUUCCUAUGGUGCUCUUGGGAGUCCUGAGAAUUGCUGGACUUUAUGUAGGGAACCUUCUUUUCUUGGCACCUGAAAAGUCCCCUGGAGUGAAGAGAGGAUCAGACUGGAAGGAUCUGUGAUGUUACAGAAUCAUACAAUCAUUACCGUUGGAAAAG
ensembl:lncRNA